CGUGAAAGCUCCGGGCUUAACUCGGAGAUGUCGUUCAAUACUGCGGGGCUUGAGGACAGCAGAGGAAGGUGGAAUUCCCGGUGUAGUAGUGAAAUGCGUAGAUAUCGGGAGGAACACCCGUGGCGAAGGCGGCCUUCUGGGCUGUUCCUGACGCUGAAGGCGAAAGCUAGGGGAGCGAACGGGAUUAGAUACCCCGGUAGUCCUAGCUGUAAACGAUGGAUGCUGGGUGUGGGGGGUGUAAAUUCCCUCUGUGCCGAAGCAAACGCGUUAAGCAUCCCGCCUGGGGACUACGGCCGCAAGGCUAAAACUCAAACGAAUUGACGGGGGCCCGCACAAGCAGCGGAGCGUGUGGUUUAAUUCGAUGCUACACGAAGAACCUUACCUGGGUUUGACAUGCACGUGGUAGGGAACCGAAAGGGGACCGACCUUCGGGAGCGUGCACAGGUGCUGCAUGGCUGUCGUCAGCUCGUGCCAUGAGGUGUCGGGUUAAGUCCCGUAACGAGCGCAACCCUUGCCCUUAGUUACAAGUGUCUAAGGGGACUGCCCGGGACAACUGGGAGGAAGGUGGGGAUGACGUCAAGUCAGCAUGGCCUUUAUAUCCAGGGCUACACACACGCUACAAUGGCCGGUACAAUAGGUUGCGAAGUCGUGAGGCGGAGCCAAUCCUCAAAGCCGGUCUCAGUUCGAAUUGCAGUCUGCAACUCGACUGCAGAAGCUGGAGU
rnacentral:rRNA from 1 species